CUUCGCAUCUCCGGCCCUUUCUCGGGGAGGGGACGUGGACGGGGCGGGCCUUUGGAAAUGCAGAUGAGUCGCCUCCCGCUGCUAGUCGCCCGGGCUGAACCUUCCUGACUCAGCCGCCCGCCACCCCCAUCCUUUCCAGAGUGAGGGCCCCCUGGGCAGAUGGGAAAGGGGGGCUAUUGUAAGGCUCUCUUUUCCUCUAGGAGACCUUGCCCGAUUUGUGGCUGUCAUCUCCCUGAGAAACCCUCCGACUUUCCCGCUCCCCGCCAUGCCCUUGGCUGGAGAAAGGGCGACGGCCAGGUACCCCCACAGUGAACCAUCCUCCUUUGGACAGCAGAAUCAGGCCUAAUGUCACUCUGACCAUACGCUAAGCCACAGCCUGGAGGCUGAAGCCGGCUCCUGCACUCCCAGCCUCCGGAUGAUUAGGAAGCAGUUAGGUGCUAAACUGUGGUCUGGGUGUGAUUCUCAGAGGGGAGAGGUGUCCCCGUGACUUGUAAGGGUCACACCCCCUUCCCACUCCCAUUUCUCCUUUACUUCUUUUUACUUUCUUUGUUUCUCCUAUCUUUGUCCCCCCACCCCCCACCCCUGUCACCUCCUGGGGGCAGGGGGAGGCGGAGCAGCCUGUCGGUCCUCUGGCUGUAGUUACUCCCGGCUUAGAGGUUGGCCCCGCCCCCGGUCACCCAGCUAGCUCAGGGCGGGGCUGCUCCUGGCGCCAAUCCGGUGGGGCCAGGCUGGAGAGGGCCACGCCAGCGGAAAGGCGGCCCGAGGCUGGGAGGUGGCCGGACCUGCCUUGCUACUGGACGCCAGGGUCCCGCCUCUUCCGGCCCAUCUACCGGAGCCCCAGCCUGGAAUACGACCUUUUGGACCUUCUGGGUGGAGACUGCCUCUGCCUGGACUGUGGAAAGAGGCAUCCCGCCAUAUUGGAGGCUGCCUGGAUCCAGCACUAUCUCCAACGGGCCAGUGACCUCAGCAAGUCCCCGCCCCACUGGAGCUGAGGUCUCCCCAUGUGAACCAGGAGGAGGAAGGUGGAUGGUGACUUUUUGAGCUGUUUCUAAUUCUGGUUUGUGAGGGGAGCUUUUUGUGUUCCAGUAUGACCUCCCCACCAGCGCCACCAAGUGCUGCGACCUGGACAGAGUCCUUGACUCCCAGGCCAUCCCUGGCUACCUCCUAUCUCUGGGACCUCAAAGAAUAGCUCAGUUUAUUCUGCCUCCUCUGGGGUGGAUGACUCCUCGGGUUUGAGGUGACCUCUCAGGAUGUUUUGAAGUGCCAGGGGAGUGGAGGCUGUGAGAAGUGUCAUUAACUUUCCGUCCUAAGCUGUGCGGGCCCGACUUGGCCCUGACAAGACCAGUGGGUCUGGCCCUUCUCCUGAGCUCAGCUGGCCCGCUCCCUAGCUUCUGUUUUGUGUCCAACUCUAUGGCAAGAAUCAGCUUAAAGAAUCCUUCUUGCUCUCCUAAACCUCUCCAGGAACUCCUGGUGACUAGAAGGUGAAUGACUUGGGCCCUCAGAACAUCUCACAGUUUCAGGGGCCCUGAUUCAGGGUCAGGUCCAGGGCUGGCUGCAAAGGUAAGUGGUCUUCCACUACUCAAAGGCCGCUGCCAGCCUCCCUCUCCCUGAGUGACAGUGACCUGGUCCUUUCCUGCCAGCGUCAAGCUGCCACUGUGGAAAGCUGACCCCAGCCCUUCCUCACCACCCAAUCCCAGCUCCUCCCUGGUCACCAGAGAGAGCUUGAGGGCCUGGCUUUGGCUCUGGCUCGGCUCCUGUUCUGUUCAGGAGCCUCCUGGCAGCAAGGCCCUCCGCGACCUAACCGCUGUUACCUUGACAACCAUGUCUGGCCUCCCUCCUCAUUCCCCAGGCACUGCGGAAUCUGAUGGGGUUUUCCAGCCACCAUGCAUUUGUCCUGCUCCCAUUGGACUGCCCUCCCAACACUGCCAAGUCUUGGCUAAACCCCUGGUCUCUAAAGUGUUCUCAUCUCCCAAACUCCUUUAAGAGACUGCUGCCCCAGAGACAGCUCUCUGCUGGCAGGAACACAAUUGCCUCUCAAUAAACUUGUGUUGUAAUAAAGAAA